AUAAUGUAUUAUACUUAAUACACAGUAAAUAUUAAUACCAUAUUCCAUAUAUACUUGUUGCCCCUUUUUGCUCUGUUUGUAAACAGUGAACUGCACUGUUUACAAUCCUACCAAACCUAACUCCGCGCAGUCAGUUAGAUCCUAUACCCAAACAAUUUAUCAGAAUUUGGUUGAAUUAUAGUUGUCUCUGAGGGCCGAAUAUUGCUGGAGUUUGGAUUGUUUCCGAUAUCCUGCAACAGCCUCUGUACCUUAGAGUGUUCACUCGUACACUCUAUGGUACAUGCUCACCUCCCCCCUCACCAAGAACAAAUAGAGCAAGACUAUACAAGUAAUAAAUGUUUUUAUAUCGUUAAUAAAUGUUUGCAGUGUAA